GGGUUGUGAGGUUAAGCGACUAAGCGUACACGGUGGAUGCCCUGGCAGUCAGAGGCGAUGAAGGACGUGCUAAUCUGCGAUAAGCGUCGGUAAGGUGAUAUGAACCGUUAUAACCGGCGAUUUCCGAAUGGGGAAACCCAGUGUGAUUCGUCACACUAUCGUUAACUGAAUACAUAGGUUAACGAAGCGAACCGGGGGAACUGAAACAUCUAAGUACCCCGAGGAAAAGAAAUCAACCGAGAUUCCCCCAGUAGCGGCGAGCGAACGGGGAGGAGCCCAGAGCCUGAAUCAGCAUGUGUGUUAGUGGAAGCGUCUG
rnacentral:rRNA from 1 species